UCCUCCUUUAAGAGACACAGCAUGAGUUUCCCUGGCUCCAUCUGAGGCACAGAAGCAAGAUCUAGACCCCCAACCUCUCAAAACACCCAAGCGUCAAAGAAGCCCAAACCCCUGGUCUCCAUCCACAAUCCUGCCUUCUUCAGUCAGCUUCCUUGAUCAAGAAGUCCCAGAGCCCACUCUUUCCUGCUAGUUCUCCAAGGCAAUGGGUGAGGCAGCAGGCAGCUACGCUCACCUACCAGUAGAUCAUCUAGUCUUGCCUGUGAGUCAUUUAGCCCAGGGUUCCAACAUUCUUAUUUCGGGGCCACACCUGCUUCUUGGUUUCACACUUAAGGAGGCCAAAGAACACCUUGCAAAAGAUAAACAAAACUUCCACAUCUUCCAACAGAAACUUCUGACAGUGCAAACUAAGACGCUCCCAUAUGAUCUUAAGAAUCUGAGCAUCACAGCCUCAUGGGGAAGGUGUGCCUGUCAUCACCUGCACUAGUAAGUACCCACAGUGCCAUCCCUCUGCCCCAACAGCCUGGAAGGCAAAGGUGCUUCACUGAGCCAAUAACCUACAAGAACACAUUAGAAGUAUCAACAUUCUGACCAUGUGCUCAGCCACCUUCCAGAAUGCUACUACUGCUAGCACAAUCUAUAUCCAAAUAGAGAAAACAAACACCUGAGAGAUGGAGAAACUAAAGAACCAAGCAAUCAAGUAAUCAUUCUAGGUAGCAAAGCUGCAAGAAUGCAAAUGCAGGCAAUGUGACUCCCCAGUCACCACCUCAGCCACCGAGCCAUACAGUUUCACAUGCCAAUCACACAGCCCUCAAGACCUUCCAGGGAGGUGGUGGUGCAUGCUUGUCAGUGGGAAGAGGCAGAAGAUCUGCGAGUUCAAAGUCAGCCUGGUCUAUAGCAUGAGUUCUAGGACAACCAGAACUACACUGAGAAACCCUGUCUUCAAAAACAAACCAAAAAAUUAAAAUAAAAUUUGAGACAGUGUCUCAAAUACCU